rnacentral:rRNA from 1 species
UUGCGUGACGAUAGCAAGAGGGGUACACCUGUUCCCAUACCGAACACAGAAGUUAAGCCUUUUAGCGUCGAAAGUACUUGGUGGGUGACUGCCUGGGAGGAUAGAACGUCGCGCAAU